rnacentral:rRNA from 1 species
AUAGCCCGCCGGAAGUGAGACGAGCCAUGUUCUCAAGAAAAUUUUCGGACUUUAGUUAUGCUGCCCGUACCGUAACCGACUCAGGUGAGUGGGGUGAAUAUCCUAAGAGGAUGGGGUGAAUUGUGGUUAAGGAACUCGGCAACUUAUCACCGUAACUUCGGGAAAAGGUGAGCCCGCGGGAGUGUAAGGACUUGAUCCCUAAGCUUCUUCGGGUCGCAGAGAAAUGGGAGUAGCGACUGUUUAUCAAAAACACAGGCAUGUGCAAAGUCUCAAGACGACGUAUACAUGCUGACGCCUGCCCGGUGCUGGAAGGUUAAGAGGAUUUGUCAGCGUAAGCGAAGCAGAGAAUCGAAGCCCCAGUAAACGGCGGCCGUAACGAUAACGGUCCUAAGGUAGCGAAAUUCCUUGUCGGGUAAGUUCCGACCUGCACGAAUGGCGUAACGACUUCUCCGGUGUCUCAACCGCAUGCCUCGCGAAAUUGAAUUCUCGGUGAAAAUGCCGAGUACCCGCAGAAAGACGGAAAGACCCCGUGAACCUUUACUGUAGUUUGACAGUGAUUUUAGAGUUUGCAUGUGUAGGAUAGGUGGGAGCCUUUGAAGUGGGAGCGCUAGCUCUCAUGGAGGCAACCUUGAAAUACCACCCUUGGAAACUUUGAAAUCUAACCUGCUCCUCGUGACGAGGAGAGGGACACUGUCUGAUGGGCAGUUUGACUGGGGCGGUCGCCUCCCAAAGUGUAACGGAGGCGCGCGAUGGUCCCCUCAGCCUGAUUGGAAACCAGGCGUCGAGUGCAUUGGCAUAAGGGGGCUUGACUGCGAGACCUACAAGUCGAGCAGGUGCGAAAGCAGGCCAAAGUGAUCCGGUGGUCCCGCAUGGAAGGGCCAUCGCUCAACGGAUAAAAGGUACUCCGGGGAUAACAGGCUUAUUCCAUCCAAGAGUCCAUAUCGACGAUGGAGUUUGGCACCUCGAUGUCGGCUCAUCACAUCCUGGGGCUGGAGCAGGUCCCAAGGGUUUGGCUGUUCGCCAAUUAAAGUGGUACGCGAGCUGGGUUCAGAACGUCGUGAGACAGUUUGGUCCUUAUCUUCUGUGGGCGUAAGAGAUUUGAGCAGACCUGUCCUUAGUACGAGAGGACCGGGAUUGACGAACCUCUGGUGUUCCUGUUGUCGCGCCAGCGGCAUUGCAGGGUAGCUAUGUUCGGAAUAGAUAACCGCUGAAAGCAUCUAAGCGGGAAGCUAACUGCGAGAUAAGAUCUCUCUGGGCUUCGGCCCCUAAAGGCUCCUCGGAGACUACGAGGUUGAUAGGCAGUGGGUGUAAGUACAGUAAUGUACUCAGCUGAACUGUACUAAUAGGCCGUGAGGCUUCU